CUCAGAGAGGGGAGAAAGACCUCUGUGCCCACAGCACAAGCGAAGGCCUUCUUGGGACGAGAGCCAUCCUGUGUCUUCUCAUCUGGACACUAGGGGACAAAGGGAGAGAAAGGAGGCAGGAAGGCAAGCCAAGGGGCCCUGCUAGUGGGAGCUUUCUGAGCUCUGGGAGAUCCAGGUCUUGGCUAGUAGGAUUUGGCCAGCAGAGGCCCCGCUUCAGACAGAUGCCCUGGGAAUAGACGGACCCUACUAGAGUAGACAGAGAACUUAAACUUGGUCCAAGAGCACCUGGAAGCAGAUUCUUAAGAAAGUGCUUCUUAGUUGUGCUCUCAAUGUGGGAAAACAGCAGGGAUUGCAAUUUCAAAAGGAAUAAUGCUGGAUCUCAUACUGGGAAAUCAACCAAAAGGAAUCAGCAGAACAGGGUAGGGGAAAGCCCGGGUCUUGCAGGGCUUUUCCCAGGAGAACUGGAAUUAUAGGUGCUCAGAAGCAAUUUGGAGAGUCAGUGGAUGGCUGAGUGGCUGCUCUGCUCUGCACACGAUCACAGCACAAAGCCCCACUGUGGCUGCAGCAGCCAUGGCCUGACUCACAUAUGCUGCCUCAGCACGUUCUGGGCCAUGGGAAUAUUGCCAGCCUUCUGCUUUGACAACCUCCACAACCAAGCCUCAGGGCGAUCCUCUAUGGCCGUCUGAUGACAGCCCACCACCAGGUUACAGCAGCAGCCUGCACAGUCCCCUGUCAGCGAGCUGGUGACCUAGGAUCUCACUCAGUACAGCCGGCUUUCAAAGAACUCUAGGCAGAAUCGCUCUCUCCUCGAUGAGUCAAAUCUAAGGCCAUUUAUCUCAACCCGUAACGUGAAAAUAGUGAAAAUCAAGAGUGAAACAGAAGUUGUUUCCUCUCGAGAAUCAAGAGUGAAACGAAAGUUAUAUUUCCUCUAGAGAAUCAAGAGUGAAAUGGAAGUUGUUUCCUCUAGAGAAGCCCCUUGAAUAACUUGGACAUUUCUAUCAGCAACCGUCUUCUAGAAUCAGGUCACAAUCAAGGGUGAGGGGAGAAGUCUGUGAUUCCCAGCACCAUGAGAGGAUGCAGCCACCACUUUGAUACCUUGGAAAAUGUGGAUCAGUUUAAUCUGAAAAAUGUUGAACAAUCUUCAAACACAGAUGUCCCCACUUUCUGGAUUUUCGGGUUGAAAGAGAUGGAAAAUACUCCUUUGUUUUACACCUGAAGGCUGCUGGGCCUUCUGAGAUCUGCUAGUCAGCGGCAGAUGUAGAAAAAACCAGGACUCAAGUUUUCUGAUGCAGAGAUGUCUUUCAGCCGCACCGCUCUGCCUGUGUCUCGGUCUGGUGUGGGCUCAUCUAAAGCAGCAAGCUCUCGUAGACUGUGAUCCGGAGGCGGGAAGCAUCCCCCUCUCCACCCUCCUUAAAAUGCCUCCCCCUAAGAAGUCUUUCUACUCCAGUCCAGGAUUACAACACUUACUUUAUUUCCUUUAUUUUCUUAGGACCAUGCAGAGACUGCGUACAUUUCCUCUAAGGCUUUGUCACCCCGUGAGGUCCCUCAGUAGAAAGGAUGUUUACAUAGUGGGAAGGGUCAGAACUUUCCAAGACCUGAUGUCCAGUCCUUACUCUGCCCCUUACUGAUUUUCACUCCAUCGAGACAAUGAUCUCUUUUCUAGAGCAGCGCACAUUUAUUUAUUCAUUGUCCAAAUAUAAGGUACACUAAGCACUGAGACAUAAAGAGGACAAGCAAGACCUCCCCGACGCCCCUACCCCUGCUUCCAGGACCUUGCUCUGUUGUGGAGACAGAUGGGCACACGGGCAACUACAUCAUAUGUUCUAGGAUAAAGCGACCAUGUAUGCAGAGACAGGGAGGCAUGAGGCAGCCUGGGCUUCCAGCACUGGGACUGCAGACGGUUCUACUGCAGACUGUAAAGGGGUGGAGUGGGAUGGGGAUAUUGUUAGAGGUCACCAGGGGCCAGAUGACAAGGGACAUCCUAUAUCUAACUAAAGAGGUUAGAUGUUAUCAUGUCAGCUCAGGCCGCCCUUGUAGACUUGAGGGCAGGAUCACACUUUCCUGGUAGAAAGAUCGUAGUUGUCUAAUUAGCAAGGCCAGAGGCAGGCAAACCAGGCAAGUGCUUAUUGAAACGUUGCAGGGAGUGAGGAUGAGUUCCUGAGGCAGGAGAAGGAGAAGCCUGAAGAAAAGAACCUGCUUGAGUCCAGGAGUUCGAGACCAGCCUGGGCAACAUAGCGAGACCCUGUCUCUAUCUAAAAAAUAAAAUAAAAUAAAAAGGGGAGACUAAUUUAAAAACAUGAAAAGAGGCCGGGUGGUAGCUCACGCCUGUAAUCCCAGCUACUUGAGA
rnacentral:lncRNA from 10 species